rnacentral:rRNA from 1 species
AGCCUGAUGCAGCCAUGCCGCGUGUUUGAAGAAGGCCUUCGGGUUGUAAAGUACUUUCAGUCGUGAGGAAGGCGGUGGCGUUAAUAGCGGCAUCGUUUGACGUUAGCGACAGAAGAAGCACCGGCUAACUCCGUGCCAGCAGCCGCGGUAAUACGGAGGGUGCGAGCGUUAAUCGGAAUUACUGGGCGUAAAGCGCAUGCAGGUGGUUUGUUAAGUCAGAUGUGAAAGCCCGGGGCUCAACCUCGGAAUAGCAUUUGAAACUGGCAGACUAGAGUACUGUAGAGGGGGGUAGAAUUUCAGGUGUAGCGGUGAAAUGCGUAGAGAUCUGAAGGAAUACCGGUGGCGAAGGCGGCCCCCUGGACAGAUACUGACACUCAGAUGCGAAAGCGUGGGGAGCAAACAGGAUUAGAUACCCUGGUAGUCCACGCCGUAAACGAUGUCUACUUGGAGGUUGUGGCCUUGAGCCGUGGCUUUCGGAGCUAACGCGUUAAGUAGACCGCC